AUGUUUAUGACAAAAGAUUUUCCCUUUGGGAUAAAUGAAGGAAAGAAAGGAGUCCCCGCCCCGAGAGAGGACAAGAAAGCGCCCCCUGUAGAGGAUCCUGCUGGCAGAAAAAGGAGGAGUCUUGAGGAGGACCCGGCAAGAGGCCUGUCCUCCUCAACAGCCAGUCCGGAACCUGACGGAACAGGGGACCACGCGGAGCCCCGAAAACCCGAGCUGCUCCGCCAGCGACUGUUCCAGCAGGUGUAUGUUCUGAUGGAGGGACUGGUGGACUCUUUCUGUGACCUGCAUGAUGAAUGCCUCCACAACCAGUCACACAGCCAGAAAGCAUAAAUGUCCUUCUUCAUUCACACGACCCUCUUAUUCUUUUUUUUUUUUUUUAAAGCUCCACGCCUUUUUUUUUUUUUUUUUUUGCCUUCAUAAGCGACCCAUCUGUAUGCGAGCGCUCUAAAUUCAGCCUGAUCAUACAGAGCUGAACGACUGACUCAAGGGCAUUUGGUGACAAUGGAUGUCAAAUCGACCAGGGAUGUCAUCUCCCAUUACACCCAACACUGGGUGAUUAGAGAUUUCAACAAGGUAAAAAACAGAAAUCAAUGGCUGGAAAAGGGUCUUUCUUCACAUCCAUCUCUCAC
rnacentral:lncRNA from 1 species